GACGAACGCUGGCGGCGUGCUUAACACAUGCAAGUCGAACGAAGUGGCGCACGGGUGAGUAAUACGUGAGUAAACUUCCCUCAUUUUUGGGAUAAGCCUUGGAAACGGGGUCUAAUACCCGCUAAAGCGGGAUGGGCUCGCGGCCUAUCAGCUUGUUGGUGGGGUGAUGGCCUACCAAGGCGGUGACGGGUAGCCGGCCUGAGAGGGUGACCGGCCACACUGGGACUGAGAUACGGCCCAGACUCCUACGGGAGGCAGCAGUGGGGAAUAUUGCACAAUGGGCGAAAGCCUGAUGCAGCCAUGCCGCGUGUGUGAAGAAGGUCUUCGGAUUGUAAAGCACUUUAAGUUGGGAGGCGUUACCAACAGAAUAAGCACCGGCUAACUCCGUGCCAGCAGCCGCGGUAAUUC
rnacentral:rRNA from 1 species